CUGCAGCGGCCGGGGCCGGGGUCGGAGCAGGCCAUGGCCGGAGCAGGCCAUGCUGGGCCGGCGGCACGCCUUCGCCGUGGACGGCCGGGAUGGGGCUGGCGAGGGCCUGGCACGGGGCUGCAUAGUGCCUGGAGUCACCAGCACCUACAGACGGAUCCCAGACACUGCCCACGGGUGCUCAUCCUGGGAGAGAGGUGACAAGCUCAGUUUCUCAAACGGGCUUCCCGGGACUCAGGAGUGGAGACGGCAGUUGGGGACAGGCCCCUGGCCGCCUUACCGGGCCUUUCUCAGGACUCCCUGGACUUUGAACCCUCAGGGAGUCCUGAGCCCCUGGCCCAGGUAGGCGGGCUCCUGGCCAGCCAGAAGCUAGAGCAGGUGCUGGAGCGGUCCCACCGGCUCCCAGCAGCUCCCGCCGGCUCAUCAGGACACCGCCCUCUGCAGCCGCCAAGCAAGCCAGAGCGUGAAGUGCCCCUUUUUGGAGCAGGAGAACAGGAGUCCACGGAGGCAGACACGGACCUAGAGUCAGGCCUGGAAGAAGAGGUGGUGGGGGGCCUGGGGCCUGGAGCCUGGGCCUGCCUCCCCGGGCAGGGUCUUCGAUAUCUCGAACACCUGUGUCUGGUGCUGGAGCAGAUGACGAGGCUCCAGCAGCUCUAUCUGCAGCUUCGGAUCCAGAGGCCCCCAGGGGGGCAAAGGCUGCUUCACUCCCAAAGGUGGAGGUGGCCAGUACCAACCCUUCCAGGCUGCCAGAAGCCCCAGUGGAGCCAAUGUACCACUUGCCAUCUUCCCAGGGAUACAAGGAUCGAGUCCAGGGAUCUCCCUGAAACGCCUCAGUCCCACCCCCACCAGAAGGCCUUUAUGCCGUCAUUAGUGGUUAAGAAGCAACGAGCAAAAAACCUGACUCUAUGCUGAGACCUCCCCGUGCACCUGGUGACCCUGGGUGGAGGGGACUUGAUGCGAAGUCUUCCUCGCCCUUUGCCCUGUUGCUGCUUCUCUGCACUGCCAGGAAAAGCUGCUGAUGGCUGCCCUCCUCUUUGAGUCGAGGGCUGAAUCUUUGUCCUCUAAGCAGUCUGGUCAGGAGCCCUGGUUUCUUGUGAGGCUUCCAAGAUGCAGCAGCUGCAGGGCUCCUCCUCCUCACCAGAAAUCUCUGGGUUUCCACAAUGCGAACUCACUCAUGAUCAGGUGUCUGUGGAGUGUUUUUGGCACAGUGACCUGUCUGGGCUCAGCAUGUUGCAGAUGUGUAUUUAUGCACAAUGAUAUGCAUAUCUCUGUGUGACUGUCAGUAUUAUAAGCUGGUUGGAUCCUACCAUCUCUUCUGAUACAAUACAUCCAAAGGGUUGAUAAUAUGGGCAAGGUCACUGCAGAAGGAUGGAACUGACCUUUAUUCCCCAGUGGGCAGUUACUGAGCUUUCCUCCUCAGAGCCAGGCAUCCCUGGGACAGAGAACAGUGUGGCCUUGGCUGCCUCUGCAUGGAGUCACCCAGGACCCCUGAAGACUGCACCAGGAAUGAGGAAGAUCAGGAACAACAUGGGAACAGAAGAGUAACUUGCAAAACCAGUGCUCAGCUUUUCUGCUCCGUACUAGCGUUUACUGGUCCUAACUCAAACCAGGUGACUGUACUAGUUCUUAGACCCUAAGUUAACCUUUCUGAGCCAUAGCUUCCAGCUGGGAAUAAUGAUGCCUGCCCUACCUACCUCACAGACUUGUUAUGAGGAUAAAGUGAGAUUAAACUGCCUCAAAGU